UUGAAAGGGAAACGAUUGAAGUCAGUCGUGCUGGCGCGAAAUCAACCUUCUCGUCUUGAGAUCACAUGGCGUGGCGAGCCUCAAAACCGUCACGAAGCGUGAACUCUUGGUGAAAUGGAGCACUUUCGUGUCCGCUGGUUAACAUCAAUUUCGAACGUCAUAAAAAGGCUGGAGGGAUGUGGCUCCUUCGGGAGUGUUAUAACCUUUAGCGGAAUGUGGUGUUCGGGAUUGAGGAUUGCAACGAAUACCUUUAGGGCUGUUCCACCUGGCUUCUCUUUGGUAUCCUGGUGACGACAGCUUGCUGACGUCGUUAGGAUUCGCCUUUGAACAGGCUAGAGUGGUGAGCAAAUUCGUUAAGGAUGUUGACGUA
rnacentral:rRNA from 1 species